ACUGAGCAAAGCCACAAGAAAACUUACGCCUUUUGAUGAUGACCGAUAUAAACAUAUCACGGUCCCAGACACCUGGACUACACAUCCAGACAACAAGAAUCCCCUUAGGACUCAACUUAGAUGGAAGACCUCAGGACUCAACCUUGCCUCAGAGACAUCAUCAGCAGACAACAGUUCUGCUCCAGUCACACCAGGAGCUGACUAGGACACCUUAAAAUUCACCCCAUAAACUGCUAUCAUCCUUGGUUUCUAGGCC